rnacentral:rRNA from 1 species
UACGAAGGGGGCGAGCGUUGUUCGGAAUCACUGGGCGUAAAGGGCGCGUAGGCGGCCCUCCUAGUCGCGUGUGAAAGCCCCGGGCUCAACCUGGGAACGGCGCGCGAAACGGGGGGGCUGGAGUUCGGGAGAGGGAUGCGGAAUUCCAGGUGUAGCGGUGAAAUGCGUAGAUAUCUGGAGGAACACCGGUGGCGAAGGCGGCAUCCUGGACCGAUACUGACGCUGAGGAGCGAAAGCCAGGGGAGCAAACGGG